rnacentral:rRNA from 1 species
UACGGGGGGUGCGAGCGUUGUCCGGAAUCACUGGGCGUAAAGGGCGCGUAGGCGGCUCGUGAAGUGUGCGGUGAAAGUCCGAGGCUCAACCUCGGAUCGGCCGUGCAGACUCGCGGGCUCGAGCGUUGUAGAGGCGGGUGGAAUUCCCGGUGUAGCGGUGGAAUGCGUAGAGAUCCGGAAGAACACCGGUGGCGAAGGCGGCCCGCUGGGCAACUGCUGACGCUGAUGCGCGACAGCGUGGGGAGCAAACAGG